CGCCACUUGUAGCAGCUUUCCAAAAGAUGAGCUAGUUUGCUUUUUACAACACGGCGACUGGAGUCGAAAGACACGACGUGAUUAUUUGUAACUGUCUAACAGCUACAACAUUGCCGAACUACUUUAUUGUGUGUGGCUGGUGUUGUUGCCGAAUAUAAAGACAAGACUCAUUUGCUGUGUCUUUUUUCUUACGGGCCACAUCACCCCUAACCCCUCACACCCUUUUACAUCCAGAAUAUCAACACAACAAAGAUGGAGGAGCUCCAUGCCCACUGCCUGAACUGUGUGAACCGGAGGUGUAUGAUUCGCACAGAGACUGGUAUGUCCUGUGAUCUCAUUGGCUGUCCUCUUAUCUGUGGGGCAGUCUUCCACUCCUGUAAAGAGGAGGAGCAUCAUUUACUAUGCCCGUUUGAAAGAGUGCCUUGCCUCAACACUGGAUUUGGGUGCCCUUUCACUAUCCCCCGGAUUAAGAUGGCUAAACACCUAGAGACGUGCCCGGCCAGUGUGGUGUGUUGCACCAUGGAGUGGAACCGUUGGCCUGUGAGCUAUUCAGACAGGAAGUCCUAUGAGCAUUUGAGCAAUGUUGAAGUGGUGGAGCAGCUAGACAUGGCCCUGGCUCUGCAAGAUCAGAGGAUGCUACUGGAGUCUCUUAGAGUCACCACCAACACGUCAAAGAACAGAUCUAGUAAAUCGGCUGAGGAAACGUGUUACAAGAUCGCUGAUGUAAUGUCAAGUGUACCAGAGACUGACAUUAGUAAUGGAACGGUUGAAAUGGAUGAGGCUGCUGCUUUGACUAAUGGAGUGGUUGAAAUGGAAGAUGAUGAUGAGUCUUAUAGUGAGGUACACAAAAUAAAGUUAGCAGCUACCUUGGCCGUCCUCAGAACUGCCAAGGAUAUAGACUUGAUCAGUGUAAAUGUUGAAAACGGUGAGAGAGAAGGGGUUCUCCAUAGGGGAGAGGACAGCGAUAAUGAUAAUCAUAAUGAUUUGAAGAAUGUAGAGAUGAAGGCAAGUGACACAGAGUCGGGCUGUGAGCUUGGAGCAGUGGGCGGAGUCGGAGUGGACUGUGGAUUUGGAACAGACGGGCAGGGAGACGAGAGCAAUUGGAUAGAGUCUCCAGAGGAAGUGGAGAAGGACCAUGUGAUGGGUCUUGCUGAGGUGGGUUGUCCUCCUCUCAGUAACGGUUUCAACCAUGCAGGAGACAACCAAAAUCACUUGCGACAGCGUGAGUGGAUGGAUCUGAGCAGAUCACCACCCAGACGCUCUGAAGUCAACAGGUUUUCAGACUUCAGGCUAGUGAUGCCUUAUCUCUCCAUGCCUAAUAUAGUAGCACCCCUGGAGACCUCUGGGCCCCACCCUCCACCACUACCCAUCCACCUGCCUCUUCCCAUGCCUCUCCCUAAUCUGGAGCCGUACAACAUGCUCCAGCAUCUGCCCUUGGAGAUAGAAGACAGGUGGCUGGAGAGGAAACUUCAGAACCUCCAGGUGCUCAGAGGGAUGAGUGUGUUUACAUUUAACGGGCGCAGGGCUCUGAUGUCUGACCCCUAUCUGUUCAGAGCCAAAAUGGAGGACAAGUCAGUGGACACCUCAGACCUGGAGGUAACUGACGAUCCAUUGGGGCUCCAUGGAAUCGACCUGAUCACGGCAGCACUGCUCUUCUGUCUGGGGGACUCCCCGGGGGGCCGCAGCAUCUCAGACAGCAGGAUUGUAGACGGCUACCACGUCGACUUUGGUACCCAGACCUUCUCCUUCCCCUCGGCUAUACUGGCCACUAACACCAUGGUGGGGGAUAUCGCCUCCGCGUCGGCCUGUGAUCACGCCAGCCCUCAGCUCUCUAACCCCAGCCCUUUCCACUCUCUCCGGCUGGACCUGGUUCUGGAGUGCGUGGCCCGUUACCAGACCAAGCAGCGCACCAUGUUCACCUUCGUGUGUGGACAGCUGUUCCGCAGGGAUGAGUUCUCUUCGCAUUUCAAAAACGUUCACGGGGACAUCCACGCCGGCCUGAACGGCUGGCUGGAGCACCGCUGUCCCCUGGCCUACUACGGCUGCACCUACUCCCAGAGACGCUUCUGUCCCUCUGUUCAGGGCUCCAGGAUCAUCCAUGACAGACACCUGGGCUCGUUUGGGGUGCAGCCCGACAUGCCUCCCCAGUACGGCGAUAAAACCCUCCCCAGGAAUGCCUGUCGGUUCGGGUCCACCUGCGACCACCUGAGCUCCUUGCCCUUCGAGCUGCAACAGUAUGUGGCCAGUUUCCUGGAUGGCUUCAGCCUGUGCCAGUUUUCCAGGGUCUCUCGGACAAUGAGGGAUGUGUGUGGCAGUUUACUGCAGUCCAGAGGCAUGGUGGUGCUGCUCUGGGAGAACACACGAAGGCCUGAUGGGUCAUCCUCAUGGCAGAUCCAAAACAAGGUGUGGCGAUUUAGCACAGCCUUCGGUACAGUGAAGGAGUGGAAGUUUGCCAACAUCACCAGUAUGGCCGACCAUCUGAAGAAGUGCAAGUUUAACACCAUCACCUGUCGGGACGAGGCCAUCCCUCUGCCCUGCAUGUGCUUAUCCAGAGAGCUCACCAAAGAGGGACGCUCACUGCGCUCAGUCCUCAAGCCGGAAAAAAAACGGAAUUGUUUUCAACCUAUUUGAUAUGCAUACACGCGGAGUGGACAAAACCUUCUCUUUCCAUGACCGACUGACCAGGUGAAUCCAGGACAUCCAGCCGACUUGACACAACUGUGGGGAGCAUUGGAGUCAACAUUGGCCAGCAUCCUUGUGGAACACUUUUGACACGUUGUAGAGUCCAUGUCCCGAUGAAUUGACUGUUCUUGGGGGCGCCGCAAUGCAACUCAAUAUUAUGAAGGUGUUCUUAAUGUUUUGUGCACUAUAUAUUCUUGUUACCAAUGUACUGAAUAUAUUAUUUAACUUUUACAUACUCUGUCAAUGUGUAAAUAAAACAUAUUUUUGACAUUACAUUUUCUAUUUUUAUAAGAUAACGAAGUUCGUACUGUGCCGCAUUGCCAACAAAAGAAAAUGGAGCCUUAACUUAUGAUAAAGACUUGAUUUCUGGUCAUGAGAGGGAUCUGAUGGGGAUCUUUUAAUGAGUCGAUUUCUCAUUGUCCCCCGGCUAGAGCGAUUUACAACGUCUUGCACGGUUUUAUAUACUUAGGGUGAUCAUGAAUUUUGUUGAGUUUGAGUCAGCGGAUCAUGCCAUUUACUUUUGAGUCAGCGGAUCAUGCCAUUUACUUUUGAGUCAGCGGAUCAUGCCUUUACUUUUGAGUCAGCGGAUCAUGCCAUUUACUUUUGAGUCAGCGGAUCAUGCCUUUACUUUUGAGUCAGCGGAUCAUGCCUUUACUUUUGAGUCAGCGGAUCAUGCCUUUACUUUUGAGUCAGCGGAUCAUGCUAUUUACUUUUGAGUCAGCGGAUCAUGCCUUUACUUUUGAGUCAGCGGAUCAUGCCUUUACUUUUGAGUCAGCGGAUCAUGCCAUUUACUUUUGAGUCAGCGGAUCAUGCCUUUACUUUUGAGUCAGCGGAUCAUGCCUUUACUUUUGAGUCAGCGGAUCAUGCCAUUUACUUUUGAGUCAGCGGAUCAUGUUAAGAUAUUGUCAGUGUAGCUAUUUAAUGCGAUCACGCUUGUAGACAACGCAGAUUUUAAAGGUAAACUUUGCAGAUGUCCGCUCAAUUAUUUGAAAUGACCUUUUAAAUGUAGGUCAGAAUGAAUCGCGGCCUAACUCAACCUCCAUCAGUAUCAGGCUGGACAACAAUGUUGACUGUUUGAGUUAAGGUGAUUGGUUGUCUUUCUGUAUCCAAUCUCCUGUUCCUCAUUUGAGAACAAUGUUACCUCUGUGAAAACCAUUUGUGUGAAUACUUGUUAUAGAUCAGUGACUCCUGCAGGUCCGGGAACAUUGGCAUAACGUUCUGAUCAUUUAGAGUUGCUCAGUAUGGAGACUGAUCAUCAUUCAAUCAUGGGCAUGUCUAUAAGUUAUCAUAUAAAAACACUCAUCUUUGUAUUUUCCUCUUGGCUCUACAUAGUCACUGUGUUCAGAAGUUGCCUGCUGUGUCUCGGGGUUUGUAAAACAUGGUUGCCUUCCAAAUGGCACCCUAUGAACUAUAUAGUGUUCUAAUUUUGAUGCUCCGGGGUCAACUUUUUGCACUGUAUAGAGAUUAGGGUGCCAUUUGGGUAGUUGCCAUGAAACUGCAUCAAUAGUGCUGGCCAUUACUUGUAUUGUAUUGCCAGAUUGACACUAUAGGGCCGAGCCAAACCAGGCUCUGUAGUGUGAAUCUGGUUUAUGUGUAAAACAUGCACUAAUCUAUCUAUCAUUCUUCACAUGGAACAGCCACUUUGUUGUCAUGGUUAUAGAGUGUGGUUAGUUCUAGGACUGAUACACCGUUCAGUAUUACUGAUGUGUUUUAUUACCAUGUUGGUACUGACACAUUCAAUUCCAUGUCCUCAAAAGAUCGAUAACCUAUCCAUCAUUUGACAUGAUUUUUUCCGGUUUGAAUAUGAGUUGAAAUUCUGUUUGGGUUUGGAAGUGGAGUGCAAUAUUUAAUGAAUCAGUCUUAAAGAUGGUGUUAAUGAAACUAAGGCCUGGAUUCAAUCCGAUCGCAGCUUGAAGAAAAUGUGCCUUUAAAAGAUAAUCUUCCAGUGUUUACAGAGAUCACAUUCACAGUAAACACUGUAUAAUUCGGUUCAAUUGGAAAUGACCUUUAAAUGACUCUUUGUCGGCGAAGCACAAUCGAAUUGAACCCCGCCUCAGUUCAUGGGUUUAAGAUUGGGUUGGAAACGCUUUGGAUUUUAAGGGCACAGUUUGCGUCUGUUCUUUUUAAAAGGAAGUACAUAUUUAUUUUACUUCAAGUUCUUCUCUGAAUCCCUGUACUGUUUGUUCUUCCCUGUGUGUUUUAUUACAUUUUGGGGGGGGGGGGGAUCAGUGCAAACGUUGCAUUAGGAUGAAACACCCCGGAUGAAUAGUUUGAAACAUUUUGAUAUGGUGAAAUAAUCCACGCUUGUUUGGUUUGAUACACAUUUUGUGCGUGUUUAGUAUUCUUCCAUUCAACACUUUUUUUUUUAAUGGGAGUUUGUUUUUGACUAUUAUUUGGUGUAGUUCAGGAUGUUAUUAACAUGCCACCAAUAUUACAUAGACCACUCAAAGGUAAAGGCCUUCGUGGGUCCACCUGAAUACCCAGGACCUGAACUGGUCUAAAAUUCAAACUUUUCCUUAGGGUCUGGGUCGGGUCCUGUUCGAUUGUCAUUGGGUCUCGGGUCAAUUUAACUACAGCUGAUAGAUCUGAAUGGACACAACCACGGCUCUGCAUAGAAAAAAAAACAUUUCUUAAAAACAUAUUCUACAACAUAUUUAUUUUAUGCUAAUAUGGUGAAUUUAUUGAUUUAUAGAAGGCCUUGACAACAUACAGUAUAAAGACCUAUUCAUUAACCAGCCGUGCAACUUGACUGAUCACUUGGGUCCAAUCAGGUCUGUUCUAGUAUUGGUCUAGGUCUGGUUGUUCUCAGGUCUGAUUGGAACCUAUUGAUCAUCCCCACAUAUCUUGGGCCCAGAUCUGUAUGAUGCUAAGACAAGUCUGAUGGUCGUUGAUGACCAAUGACUAGGAGUUGACAAAACAGCACAAACAGAUCUGGGACCAGGCUAGACAUGUUUCUGCUCGAGUCAGAUUUAUUUCCCCCUUUUUUUUGCAUGUGAGUGAAGAGAUUAACCGUCAUUCUUAAGAACAUGAUUUAUCCAUAAAAUGCAAGGUUAUUUUUCACACUACAAUAACCUUUCUAGCGGUUGUGUGUGUGCCUCUAUACAAUGGGAUUAUCUGUAUAUGACUACAUUUGAUGGUAGUAUUUGCAACAAUGAAAUGACAGCUUUAAACAAGAGGCUACAUUUCUGUAGUGUUAAAUGAACAUUUUACAAUAAACCGCAUUGUAAAUCUGGCAGUGUAAUUUAGUUUGAAACUUUUCUUCAACAAUUUGUUAUAAAGAGGUGAUUAUGUAUUGCCCAGUUUACUAAACUGUAGUUAAAUAACACAUUGUUGAAAAAAGGUUUGAGAUUAAAUCAUACUGCCAGAUUACAAUGAAGUUUAUGGUACAUUUUGCACUUAAAGCUAGAAUCCUUACUUGAAACAAUAACAAAGGGUCAAAAGCUGAGGGGUGAACCUGGAAAAAUGUAACCGCUCAAAUUCAUAGAUCUAUGGAUGCAAGGACUGCCCAUCCAUGGUUUCAAAAUGAUAGUUUUAACCAAUGUUUUGAGGCUAUACAGUGUUUGUUUACAUUUAUAUUGUUUACAAACACUUGAGUAAAACAAGCUUAUAUUUGGGGUUCUAAUGGGGAACGACAGCUGAACUAAGUUCAUGAGGCAUUUAUAAGUUGAAUUCUUCAAGAAUCAAUGGGUAUCAUUAAAAAUUGAUGUAGCAUCUAAGGAUUCUAGCUUUAACGCGUUACUUUUGCUAUACGAAAACGUUUUCCCGCGGUGUCUUACUCUUUUACAUGUUUUGUUCAGUUUGCUUUAGCGGCCCUGGUGUAAAAAGCUCCUUCACAUUACUGUGUAUCAUCAACAGCAUUUUCAUCACCAAUAAAAGUUGUUCUUUACUUGCUACAACAUGGUUUAAAUAUCUUCUACGAGAACAGCAUCAUGUUGACUGAUGGUCGAGUCUCAGCUGCUAAAGGUGUGCGCGAGACUGGAGGAGGUUGGGCCUCUAUCGGUGAGGUCUGGUAGCAGGGUCUCCAUCGGUGAGGUCGGGUAGCAGGGUCUCCAUCGGUGAGGUCUGGUAGCAGGGUCUCCAUCGGUGAGGUCUGGUAGCAGGGUCUCCAUCGGUGAGGUCUGGUAGCAGGGUCUCCUUUCCUGCGGAAGUAGGAACAUCUUUAGAAACCGGAACUGGGCUAUAAAAAGGUCCAACAAUUAUGGAAUAGAACAAAAUAAAAUCAAAAUGACCAAAAAAAGACUAUAAACAGACAAUAUGACAAUCACUGACUGGCAUUCAAACCGUGGCCAACUAUGUUUUGCUCACAGACCUCCCCCAUAUCCAUCUGUACAUAUAAGACUGGGAGGUUGUUACUAUCUCUGUACAGAGAACUGAGAAGACAACUCUGGUUCCAUUAGCUUUACCUUAGCAGCAGAAGAAACUUUGGAAACCACCUUGGACAUGACAGGAUGUCCUGGAGACUCUAUGAGUAACAAAUGCAAAAAAUUAAGUGAAUUAUGAUGUCUCACUGCACAAUCAAUGGGCAAUAUCUCUACUGCUGUAAUCCAACCAAAACAUCUCUGGGGAGAGAU